rnacentral:rRNA from 1 species
ACCAAGGCUAUGACGCUUAACUGGUCUGAGAGGAUGAUCAGUCACACUGGAACUGAGACACGGUCCAGACUCCUACGGGAGGCAGCAGUAGGGAAUAUUGCGCAAUGGGGGAAACCCUGACGCAGCAACGCCGCGUGGAGGAUGACACUUUUCGGAGCGUAAACUCCUUUUCUUAGGGAAGAAUUCUGACGGUACCUAAGGAAUAAGCACCGGCUAACUCCGUGCCAGCAGCCGCGGUAAUACGGAGGGUGCAAGCGUUACUCGGAAUCACUGGGCGUAAAGGGCGCGUAGGCGGAUUAUCAAGUCUCUUGUGAAAUCUAAUGGCUUAACCAUUAAACUGCUUGGGAAACUGAUAGUCUAGAGUGAGGGAGAGGCAGAUGGAAUUGGUGGUGUAGGGGUAAAAUCCGUAGAUAUCACCAAGAAUACCCAUUGCGAAGGCGAUCUGCUGGAACUCAACUGACGCUAAGGCGCGAAAGCGUGGGGAGCAAACAGGAUUAGAUACCCUGGUAGUCCACGCCCUAAACGAUGUACACUAGUUGUUGGGGUGCUAGUCAUCUCAGUAAUGCAGCUAACGCAUUAAGUGUACCGCCUGGGGAGUACGGUCGCAAGAUUAAAACUCAAAGGAAUAGACGGGGACCCGCACAAGCGGUGGAGCAUGUGGUUUAAUUCGAAGAUACGCGAAGAACCUUACCUGGGCUUGAUAUCCUAAGAACCUUUUAGAGAUAAGAGGGUGCUAGCUUGCUAGAACUUAGAGACAGGUGCUGCACGGCUGUCGUCAGCUCGUGUCGUGAGAUGUUGGGUUAAGUCCCGCAACGAGCGCAACCCACGUAUUUAGUUGCUAACGGUUCGGCCGAGCACUCUAAAUAGACUGCCUUCGUAAGGAGGAGGAAGGUGUGGACGACGUCAAGUCAUCAUGGCCCUUAUGCCCAGGGCGACACACGUGCUACAAUGGCAUAUACAAUGAGACGCAAUACCGCGAGGUGGAGCAAAUCUAUAAAAUAUGUCCCAGUUCGGAUUGUUCUCUGCAACUCGAGAGCAUGAAGCCGGAAUCGCUAGUAAUCGUAGAUCAGCCAUGCUACGGUGAAUACGUUCCCGGGUCUUGUACUCACCGCCCGUCACACCAUGGGAGUUGAUUUCACUCGAAGCCGGAAUACUAAACUAGUUACCGUCCACAGUGGAAUCAGCGACUGGGGUGAAGUCGUAACAAGGUAACCGUAGGAGAACCUGCGGUUGGAUCACCUCCUUUCUA